UUGAUUGAGAAGUUGCAAAGUUUUAGAAAGGCAUGCAGGAUAUUACUGUGGAUACUUUUGAAAAAUACAAGCUGCCUACCAAUGGCAGUACAAUUGGGAAGUUCCUUUAGAAAGUAGAAAGGAUCAUUUAUAUUUAUGGAAAAGAGCAUUUCUUUUUGCAGAAAUGAAGGCACAGAUAAGUGCAGUAACUUGCCAAGUGUUACACAGCAUGUCCAACAAUGGAAUCGGCAGUCAAGCCCAGAAGAUCCACUUCCGCUCUUAGAUACUACACUUCACUGACUUUCUAAGAAGAGUCAUGGAGAAAAAUACGACCAUUCCUCAGGAAGCAUUAGCAGCAAAAAUACUUGCAGUUCAUCACACUCAAAUUAAGAACAAAUAAAAGAUGUGCAGGAAGAGGACAAGACGCAGUUGAAAUAUUUUCCUAAAACAAAAUUAUUCUAUUACUGUUGAUUUCAAUUAUUCUCUUUGUAACUUGACUACAACCUAUAUGAAAUAUGCUAAGGGAACAGUCAGAGGAUAUUUGAUUGAGAUAAAAUUGAAAUGGCCUCAGAAUUUCUUCUUGAAGACUGCUCAUGAAGGCGUCAAAUAUUUAGUCAAAUCUUCAGAGUUAAUUUUGUGUGGCCUCAGUGCAACAUUUGCCAAACACAAACACUUUAAAAAAAUUCUAGCCCUAUGGGACUAUCUCUUAUCAAAGCAUCAAAG